GUAAGCUACUAAGAGCGAAUGGUGGAUGCCUUGACUGGUAAAGGCGAUGAAGGACGUACUAGACUGCGAUAAGCUACGGGGAGCUGUCAAGAAGCUUUGAUCCGUAGAUUUCCGAAUGGGGCAACCCAAUGUAUAGAGAUAUACAUUACCUAUAUAGGAGCGAACGAGGGGAAUUGAAACAUCUUAGUACCCUCAGGAAAAGAAAUCAAUAGAGAUUGCGUCAGUAGCGGCGAGCGAAAGCGCAAGAGGGCAAACCCAGUGCUUGCACUGGGGGUUGUAGGACUGCAAUGUGCAAGAGGUGAGUUUAGCAGAACAUUCUGGAAAGUAUAGCCAUAGAGGGUGAUAGUCCCGUAUGCGAAAAACAAACCUUAGCUAGCAGUAUCCUGAGUAGGGCGGGACACGAGAAAUCCUGUCUGAAGCCGGGUCGACCACGAUCCAACCCUAAAUACUAAUACCAGAUCGAUAGUGCACAAGUACCGUGAGGGAAAGGUGAAAAGAACUGAGGUGAUCAGAGUGAAAUAGAACCUGAAACCAUUUGCUUACAAUCAUUCAGAGCACUAUGUAGCAAUACAGUGUGAUGGACUGCCUUUUGCAUAAUGAGCCUGCGAGUUGUGGUGUCUGGCAAGGUUAAGCAAACGCGAAGCCGUAGCGAAAGCGAGUCUGAAUAGGGCGCUUAGUCAGAUGCUGCAGACCCGAAACGAAGUGAUCUAUCCAUGAGCAAGUUGAAGCUAGUGUAAGAACUAGUGGAGGACUGAACCCAUAGGCGUUGAAAAGCCCCGGGAUGACUUGUGGAUAGGGGUGAAAGGCCAAUCAAACUUCGUGAUAGCUGGUUCUCUCCGAAAUAUAUUUAGGUAUAGCGUUGUGUCGUAAUAUAAGGGGGUAGAGCACUGAAUGGGCUAGGGCAUACACCAAUGUACCAAACCCUAUCAAACUCCGAAUACCUUAUAUGUAAUCACAGCAGUCAGGCGGCGAGUGAUAAAAUCCGUCGUCAAGAGGGAAACAACCCAGACUACCAGCUAAGGUCCCUAAAUCUUACUUAAGUGGAAAACGAUGUGAAGUUACUUAAACAACCAGGAGGUUGGCUUAGAAGCAGCCAUCCUUUAAAGAAAGCGUAAUAGCUCACUGGUCUAGUGAUUUUGCGCGGAAAAUAUAACGGGGCUAAAGUAAGUACCGAAGCUGUAGACUUGACUUUGUCAAGUGGUAGGAGAGCGUUCUAUUUGCGUCGAAGGUAUACCGGUAAGGAGUGCUGGAGCGAAUAGAAGUGAGCAUGCAGGCAUGAGUAGCGAUAAUUAAUGUGAGAAUCAUUAACGCCGUAAACCCAAGGUUUCCUACGCGAUGCUCGUCAUCGUAGGGUUAGUCGGGUCCUAAGUCGAGUCCGAAAGGGGUAGACGAUGGCAAAUUGGUUAAUAUUCCAAUACCAACAUUAGUGUGCGAUGGAAGGACGCUUAGGGCUAAGGGGGCUAGCGGAUGGAAGUGCUAGUCUAAGGUCGUAGGUGCUUAUACAGGCAAAUCCGUAUAAGAAUACACCGAGAACUGAAAGGCUUUUUGAAGUCUUCGGAUGGAUAGAAGAACCCCCGAUGCCGUCGAGCCAAGAAAAGUUUCUAAGUUUAGCUAAUGUUGCCCGUACCGUAAACCGACACAGGUGGGUGGGAUGAGUAUUCUAAGGCGCGUGGAAGAACUCUCUUUAAGGAACUCUGCAAAAUAGCACCGUAUCUUCGGUAUAAGGUGUGGUUCGCUUCGUAUUAGGAUUUACUCCGAAAGCGAAGAAACUUACAACAAAGAGUCCCUCCCGACUGUUUACCAAAAACACAGCACUCUGCUAACUCGUAAGAGGAUGUAUAGGGUGUGACGCCUGCCCGGUGCUCGAAGGUUAAUUGAUGGGGUUAGCAUUAGCGAAGCUCUUGAUCGAAGCCCGAGUAAACGGCGGCCGUAACUAUAACGGUCCUAAGGUAGCGAAAUUCCUUGUCGGUUAAAUACCGACCUGCAUGAAUGGCGUAACGAGAUGGGAGCUGUCUCAAAGAGGGAUCCAGUGAAAUUGUAGUGGAGGUGAAAAUUCCUCCUACCCGCGGCAAGACGGAAAGACCCCGUGGACCUUUACUACAGCUUGACACUGCUACUUGGAUAAGAAUGUGCAGGAUAGGUGGGAGGCUUUGAGUAUAUGACGCCAGUUGUAUAUGAGCCAUUGUUGAGAUACCACUCUUUCUUAUUUGGGUAGCUAACCAGCUUGAGUUAUCCUCAAGUGGGACAAUGUCUGGUGGGUAGUUUGACUGGGGCGGUCGCCUCCCAAAUAAUAACGGAGGCUUACAAAGGUUGGCUCAGAACGGUUGGAAAUCGUUCGUAGAGUAUAAAGGUAUAAGCCAGCUUAACUGCAAGACAUACAAGUCAAGCAGAGACGAAAGUCGGUCUUAGUGAUCCGGUGGUUCUGUGUGGAAGGGCCAUCGCUCAAAGGAUAAAAGGUACCCCGGGGAUAACAGGCUGAUCUCCCCCAAGAGCUCACAUCGACGGGGAGGUUUGGCACCUCGAUGUCGGCUCAUCGCAUCCUGGGGCUGGAGCAGGUCCCAAGGGUAUGGCUGUUCGCCAUUUAAAGCGGUACGCGAGCUGGGUUCAGAACGUCGUGAGACAGUUCGGUCCCUAUCUGCCGUGGGCGUAAGAAGAUUGAAGAGAUUUGACCCUAGUACGAGAGGACCGGGUUGAACAAACCACUGGUGUAGCUGUUGUUCUGCCAAGAGCAUCGCAGCGUAGCUAAGUUUGGAAAGGAUAAACGCUGAAAGCAUCUAAGCGUGAAGCCAACUCUAAGAUGAAUCUUCUCUAAGCUCUCUAGAAGACUACUAGUUUGAUAGGCUGGGUGUGUAAUGGAUGAAAGUCCUUUAGCUGACCAGUACUAAUAGAGCGUUUGGCUUAUCUUUAAUAAAGCAU
rnacentral:rRNA from 2 species